UUGUAUAUCUUAUCCUCUAUCGUGUUUAAGAAGAAGAGAAUAAUGAAGCUUUUUAUGAAAUAAUAUUUGGGUUUAUUUUAUUUUAUUUUCUCCUCACAGAUUCAAAUUUACGUCAACGUCCGUUACGUUGGUGACGUCACCGCGAGCGCGAGAAGUCGAAGCGAGGAGCAGAAAGCGUUGUUAGUGUUAGUUCUGGCCCGUUUGGACCCAAACUAAAGUGUAUCAGUAUGAAGCAGGCGGUGACGGCGCACUGAUUCACUCUCGGAGCUCGGUUCACUAAUGACCGAAUCACCGAGGAACCGACCAAAGAUAACUCACACCCGCACGGAGAAGAAGAACAAGAGGAGGAGAAGAUGAGCUGGAGUGGGGCAAAGAGAACUGCAUUCAGAUCAAACGGAUACAAGAGGUGGCCGAGUUGUUUGAGGAUCUGAAGAAUUGAGUGUCACAAUUCAACAUACACAUCAGCGAAACUUCUCCCUCUGACUACACCAGCACGCACACACAGAAAUUCAUAGUGCAGGUGGCGAUUGCAGGCGCAUUUUAUCCGAACUGCUUCCUCCAGGGAACUGUGGACGAGGAGCUCGCCUCCAAGGAACUCUAUGGAAACGACCCCAGGACCACCGUAGUGGGCCUACGUAGAGUUCUACCGCUCGUCAAUGAGAGGUUCUGGCGUUCUCCCAGAGGUCUCUCUGUCUCUCCUCCUUGCGCAGCAGAGACUUCCUCUCCAUCUCAACGUUUAACCUGCUGGAGAGGUGGAGACUUGAGCAGGGGGGUAGUGUAUCUCACACCUCAGAUAUACACGGGUGAAUGUGGAUUUUCAGAAUCAGUCAGUGAGCCCUGUCGGGGUUCUGAGCAGCUCCAUUGAGCUGGAGAAUCUUCCGUCUAACCCUGUCUUUAUCGUCAAUAUCACCGAGGUCCCGGUGAAGCCCCCGGCAACACUCCAAGCAUCCUGGCUGUGUUAGAGACCUUGCAGUGCGCGCCUCACUUGGAAGUGCACAAAGACAUGAUUCGCUGGAUCCUUGAAACUGUGGGACAAAGACAAAGCAGAGAGAAAAAAGAAAGCUGAACUGUGCUGGAAAAAGACCUUGGCUCAAACAUUAUAGAGCCAGAGUCAUUUUAUCAAUAAGUACAUAGAUCUGCUCACGCAGGAUUCAGAGGAUCUGGAUGCCUCAGCCUCUACAUCAGCAGAGCAUAGGUACCUAAGCAUGCUCGUAGUGACGCAGCGUUCUUAAUAAGUCAACUUGUAUUGUAUUCUCAAUAUCCAGUCAGUACAUUUAUGUCAGUAAAUGCAUGCAUCAACAGUUCCUUGACUUUGCUGAGCAGUUGUCAGUUCUUUGUCCUAAAAGUUCUUGCAUAUAAUGGUGGUCUUCACAUAACAUAAGUAAAUUCCCAUCCUUAAACUCUUUAUCUUGCAUAUUCAUUUAGAGCAUUUUCUGUUGGGGUAAAUGAGUAGAGAGGAUCCUAGGCCAUUUUUAGCAAUUUCCUGCCCCAGUUCAUGUGACAGUGCUCUGGUGUGUGUGGGACCUCGUCGUUGGCGUGCCAGAGGAGGAGAGAGGAGGCAGAUGGAGAUGUGUAUCCUGUGUCACGAAGCGCAGGAGAUCCUACCUGAUGGCACCGCCAUGGUGCUCGCUGCCUUUGUCCAACGCUCUACGGUCAUUUCCAAGAACCACAAAAGACCCCCUAACAAUCCAGAUACUUUGAGACACUCCAGAGUCAGGAUACGCAGUGGCUGCAUGAGCAAACCAGUUACGAUGUAGAGAAUGGGGAGUACUUGUGUCCACUCUGUAAGUGUCGCAGUAACACUCAUUCCUCUCCUACCCCUCACUGAGACCACCUGCAGGUACUCGCAUACAAACUUGUGGUUGUGAUUAUUCUAACUGGAGUUGCUCUGAAUCCGGACCGCUUAAUAUUUUAACCAUUGCAUUGGCGAAUUAGUUGUAGUGGUUCUGUAACCAAUGCAAACUUGCCUAUGAAAUGCCAUGGAAGGGUACAGAAUGACACUGUAACAGUGCAUACCCCAUUCCAUUAUUCCUCUUAUUUAUUUAUAUAUAUUAUAGCAAGGGAAUUGAUAUCUGUAGCUGAAUUGCAUGUCUUGCCAUGUUGAGAUCAGAGUAUAGAAUUUCUGCUUGUGUAAGAUGGCUAAUCCACUGCUGUUGCAAGAUAUUUAGUCACACUGACUCAGUUUAUUACAGUAAAUUUGCCAGUUGUCCCAUUGAGUUUGACAUUUUCUCUGGUUAAAUAGUAAAAUGCAUGCAUGUUUGUAGUUACAGCAAUAGUGAGCAGCCAGGUCUGGCUCAUUGGCUGAAUACAAUGUAUAUAAGCAGAUCAGAGCCGUGCACUCUGCUCAUAAGAGAGCCAAGCCAACAAAUGCUGGUGAGACAGAGACUGUGGAGGACUCUCCUCCUCCUGAGAGUUUCAGGCUGGACCACACACCAGUGUAAACAUACCCACGGUUUCCUUUCACAACUGCGUAUCUGAGCGUGUCUUUAACACUGACCUGUGAUUUGUUUUGAUAGCAACCCUUAUUCAAGCUCCGUAAGGGAGAUGCUGAUGACAUUUGGGACUGCCACUUAUAAAGUUGGCCUUAAGGUGCACCCUAAUGAGCAGGACCCCCCUGUGCCUAUCAUGUGCUGGGGCAGCUGUUCUUGCACCAUCCAGUCUAUAGAGAGAUUAUUGGUAAAUGAGGAGAAGCCUUGUUUGGAAGUUUACCCUGUAGACAGGUAUGACAACCCAACUUAUUGUCAUAUCUCAGCCCAGCCAGGACUCGGUUUCCCAAGAAGCAACACCCACUUCUAACAUGGCCGCUGAGGACUACACUUCCCACACACGCAUGCGCUCACUUCCCCGGAGUUCUGAUCUCACACACCUGCAGCCAAUCACCUUGUCCACUCACCACGACUUAUUAAGAGACUUUGGAUACAGGGACACUUUGUGAAGUAAACAUUCAGCAGACUAGUUUCUCUGUCGUUCUCCAAGUGUUACCUGCUGUGUUUAUUCGAUAAGUGACUUUGACCUUUGCUUACGUCCCCGACCACGAUUUCUGUCUUGCCCCGUUUGUUUUGUUUGCAUGAUCGCCUGACCCUCGCUUGCUUCUUGACUACGGACUGUGUUCACCCCUCUGGAUUAUUCUGCCUGAACCUGCCGCCCGCUUCUGCUUCUGUAUUCCCCACGCACUUGUUCUUGCUCCCCAGGUGGAAAAUUCCCCCUGCAUUCUGGAUGUGGACAUGUUCCACUUAGUGGGGAGUCUGGUGCUGUCCUAUUCAGCAUUGCACUGUUUAGACUCCUCAGGGCUUAGUGCGGAUACUGCACACCUGCAUCUCUUCCACUUGGUCAUUGUUGCUCACCUGGUCCAUAUCCUCCUCACCUCUGUGCCAGAGGAGCUGACCAUGGAGCAGGAGUGUGAAGGAGAGGAGCGGGAGCAGGAAGAGAGUGACUGUCUUCUCUAACACAUUAAGGACUCCUGUAGGCUGCCUGCGUGAGACUAGCUCAUGUUGGCAUUGUGUAAAGGCAGGCAUCCUGCCCUUCCUCAGAGGAGCCGCACUGUCCUUCCACCAUCUCAAUGGAGUUCCCAUUCCGCCUGAGCUCAACGGUAAGUGCUUAAUUUGCCCCCA